rnacentral:rRNA from 1 species
UACAGAGGUGGCAAGCGUUGUUCGGAAUUACUGGGCGUAAAGGGCGCGUAGGCGGUUCGUUAAGUCCUGUGUGAAAUCCCCCGGCUCAACUGGGGAACUGCACAGGAAACUAGCGGGCUUGAGUUCGGGAGAGGGAAGCGGAAUUCCGGGUGUAGUGGUGAAAUGCGUAGAUAUCCGGAGGAACACCGGUGGCGAAGGCGGCUUCCUGGACCGACACUGACGCUGAGGCGCGAAAGCUAGGGGAGCAAACGGG